AACGAACGCUGGCGGCAGGCCUAACACAUGCAAGUCGAGCGAGUGUAGCAAUACACGAGCGGCGCACGGGUGAGUAGCGCGUGGGAAUCUACCCUGUGGUGGGGGACAACCUUGGGAAACUGAGGCUAAUACCGCAUACGUCCUUCGGGAGAAAGACUUCGGUCGCCAUAGGAGGAGCCCGCGUCCGAUUAGCUAGUUGGUGAGGUAACGGCUCACCAAGGCGACGAUCGGUAGCUGGUCUGAGAGGACGGCCAGCCACACUGGGACUGAGACACGGCCCAGACUCCUACGGGAGGCAGCAGUGGGGAGUAUUGGACAAUGGGGGAAACCCUGAUCCAGCCAUGCCGCGUGAGUGAUGAAGGCCUUCGGGUUGUAAAGCUCUUUUAGCGGGGAAGAUAAUGACG
rnacentral:rRNA from 1 species